rnacentral:rRNA from 1 species
AAGUCGUAACAAGGUUUCCGUAGGUGAACCUGCGGAAGGAUCAUUAAUGAAACUGAAGUCUUCGGACUCAAUCUUCAUUAUUCCACACACACACCUGUGCACCUUUUGAUUCGAGUGCUGGUUAUUAGAGCUUCGGCUUGAAUGCUAGUGCUUGUCUCAAUAAUAUCAACCUUUUAAAACAAUGUUUUCUAGAAUGUAUACUGUCUCGUUGUAAUGGCGAGUACAACCCCUAUAAAACUUUCAACAACGGAUCUCUUGGCUCAGGCAUCGAUGAAGAACGCAGCGAAAUGCGAUAAGUAAUGUGAAUUGCAGAAUCCAGUGAAUCAUCGAAUCUUUGAACGCACCUUGCGCCCUUUGGUAUUCCGAAGGGCACGCCUGUUGGAGUGUCAUGAAUACCUCAACCCUUACCGGUUUUAUCGCUUGUAAGGUGUUGGUUGUGAGCGUUGCCGGUCGCAAGAUCAGCUCGCUUUAAAGUCAUUAGCUGGAUCCACUUUGACCUGGUUCUACUCGGCGUAAUAAGUUAUUAUCGUCGAGGACACCUUCUCUUUUGANGGUGGCCACAGUAAAGNNUGCGAACCGCUUCUAAUACGUCUGCUUAGUCUUUGGGCUAACGCAACACCUUUUUAUCUCUGACCUCCAAUCAGGCGGGACUACCCGCUGAACUUAAGCAUAUCAAUAAGCGGAGGNAAAGAAACUAACNAGGAUUCCCCUAGUAACGGCGAGUGAAGCGGGAAGAGCUCAAAUUUGAAAUCUGNCACCCUUCGGGUGUCCGAGUUGUAAUCUAGAGAGGCGUUUUNCACGCUGGUCCACGUAUAAGUCUCCUGGAACGGAGUGUCAUAGAGGGUGAGAAUCCCGUCCUUUACGUGGGCUACCAGUGUUUUUGUGAUACGCUUUCUAAGAGUCGAGUUGUUUGGGAAUGCAGCUCAAAAUGGGUGGUAAAUUCCAUCUAAAGCUAAAUAUUGGCCUGAGACCGAUAGCGAACAAGUACCGUGAGGGAAAGAUGAAAAGCACUUUGAAAAGAGAGUCAAACAGUACGUGAAAUUGUUGAAAGGGAAACGCUUGAGGUCAGUCGCGCCUUUUGAGACUCAGCCUUCCUUUUGGUUGGUGUACUUCUCAAGAGGCGGGUCAACAUCAGUUUCGACCGGUGGAUAAAGGCGGGAGGAAUGUGGCUUCCUCGGAAGUGUUAUAGCCUCCCGUUGGAUACAUCGGUUGGGACUGAGGAACGCAGCACGCCGCAAGGCAGCCCCUCGGGGACUUUCGUGCUUAGGAUGUUGACAUAAUGGCCUUAAGCGACC